GUCCUGAGGUGGCUAAGUCAGCAGAGCAUGAGACUCUGGAUCUCAGGGUCGUGGGUUCGAGCCCCAUGUUGGGCA